rnacentral:misc_RNA from 1 species
GUAGGUGAACCUGCGGAAGGAUCAUUACAGAGAACUUGCCCUUCGGGGUAGAUCUCCCACCCUUUGUUAACGUUACCUAUGUUGCUUUGGCAGGCCAGACGUUUCGUCUACCGGCUUAGGCUGGACAGUGCCUGCCAGAGGCCCUUUCAAUUCUGAAUUGUCCCGUGCCGUCUGAAUGAACACGCGAAUAAUCUAAAACUUUCAACAACGGAUCUCUUGGUUCUG